UAAUGUCGAAAGUCUGACGGAGCACGCCGCGUGAGUGUGAAGGUUUUCGGAUCGUAAAGCUCUGUUGUUAGGGAAGAACAAGUGCCGUUCAAAUAGGGCGGCACCUUGACGGUACCUAACCAGAAAGCCACGGCUAACUACGUGCCAGCGGUCGCGGU
rnacentral:rRNA from 1 species